UUUAUUUCCAAUCCAUCUAAAUAUAUAUUUAUGUACGUAUAACGGAUCAAAAUCGUUCAGAAAUGAAUGUCAGCUCAAGCCAGCGUGACAAGAUGCAUUGUAUAUCAAUGCCUUUUCCAUACAACAAAGUCCAACUCUGUCAUAAAGUGGAGAACUCAUCUGUAGACUAUCAGCGUGUUCAUCGUUGUGUUGUGGUACUGCUAGAGACACGCCUCACACAACACGGAUCGCGGGAACUGUGUCGACGAUCACACAACACGGACCGGUAGUGUCAUCAUUGGGACUAUAUUUAGCAGGACUUGACCCAAUAAUGUGUAUAUACACACAGACAUGUGUUAUGAAAAUGACAUUGAGGGAUUGAUCUCGGCCUGGGUAACAUGCAGUAAGACACCGAGUGGGUAUCAACGUCAUGCCAGUAAACAGUCAAGGGACUCUGUGGAGAAGAGUGUGUACCUUGUGUGGAUGUUGUUUUUACCGAAGAUACCAGUGUGUUCAGCCUGACGAGGACUGGCUAGAUCUGUUGACAGAGGAACAGAGACAAACAUGUGUGACAGACAGGACUCUGUUUGUGGUGUCCCAGCAUAUCGGUAGAGGCUGGGAGGUGUUGGGCAUGGAGCUGGGACUGCGCUAUGUGUGUGUAGACAGGUGCGCGACACCCAACUCGUCACCUCAGAUGCAAACACUGGCCAUGUUGAACACUUGGAGGCAACUGAAGGGCAGACGUGCCACAGUGGAAGAACUGAUCACGGCUCUACAGAGGAGUAUUCCUGGAUGUACUGUGGACAUGUUUGCAAUCAUAAGAGACGUCUGUGAUAAGUAAUGCGAUACCACAUGUUACUCACUAGCUAGAUCGGAAGGUGAUCCGUAAAGUGUGUCAGUGUCCUCAUCAGAACCGUCUCCGUCACUUGAGGGGCGGUGGGGUAGCCUAUUUGUUAAAGCGUUCGCUCGUCACGCCGAAGACCCGGGCUCGAUUCACCAUAUGGGUAUACUGUGUCGAGCCCAUUUCUGGUGUCCCCCGCCGUGAUAUUGUGGAUAUUGCUAAAAGCGGCGUAAAAAAUACUCACUCUCCGUUACUUGAACAUGUAGGAGUAGAGAUCAUAAUGGAAGUGAGACGUUCAUGUACCAACAUUCACGAAUCAUUGUGGACACCGUAAUGACGUCCGUUGUCGUAUUCUGGUGUGAAAUUCAAACCGUGUAGUUGGAUACUCUGAGAAACAGUAGCGUAUUCGAAAUCUUUGAAAUAAUAUUUCGUGUCGUGAGGACAUUCUCAGAUGGUGUCACCGUGAUAUUGGCAGCUGUGUCUUUGAGCAAAGAUUGUUGUUUAACUAAAUACCGAGGCUCAGUUAGGACAGAAUUGUUGUGGGUUGUCUCGCCGUCCAUGGCCAUUUCCUGGUUACAAAGGGAGGUAACUCUAACCAACACUUCCAUUACACUUCACGGAUUAUUUGUGUACAUGUUAUACCCCCAGGUGAUGAAAGAAUGACGAAGUCCAUGGUUUAUUGAUAUAUCAGUAAUACAAUAAACACUUGAACAUACUUUUACAGAAUGCCUUUGAUAAACAUUUACGUAUGGCUGUGUCAUUCAUUCCAGUGUGCGAAAACAGCACUCGUCCGCUAGCCCGUGGCGAGUAAAAAUCCAGUCGGGCCAGUAAAUCUCCACAGUCACUGACCCGACUGACUGGUGAAUUUUCAUGGGGUCAUUCUGCAAAUAUAUCACUUGUUAAGUUAUACACUUUUAAAUCAUGCAAAAUUAUGGCCUGAUAAAAAUAUUCAUCAUGUUAGAAGCAUAAUGAUGAAACCCGUGUGUACGUUCAAAUUUCGGGCUAGUAAAAUAAUUUGUGGGAUAGUAAUUUCAAGCAUACCUAGCCCGACUGUCUUGCAAAAUUUGUAAAUUUGGAAUUUCGCACACUGUGCCAUUCACCCGAACAGUUCAUAUACAUAUGAUGACAGUGAUACAACUAUACACUUCCCGGAUCGACAUGUAACACAAGGUUUGCGUAUUGUUCAUUUGUAAAAGACGAAUAUUCUACCAUUCAUGUCCUGCAAAACUAUUUCAAAUAUGUAUAUUCUCGAAAUGACGGGAGUGGCGUGGUAGCCUGGUUAGUGGUUAAAGCGUACGCUAGUCACGCCGAAGACCCGGGUUCGAUUCCCAACAUGGGUACAA
rnacentral:misc_RNA from 1 species